rnacentral:rRNA from 1 species
CGAACGGCAGCACGGUGCGUAGCAAUACGUAUGGGUGGCGAGUGGCGGACGGGUGAGUAACACGUAGGAAUCUGCCCUAUAGAGGGGGAUAACUCGAGGAAACUCGAGCUAAUACCGCAUAGUCUCUACGGAGUAAAGCUGGGUUUACCUGGCGCUAUGGGAGGAGCCUGCGUCUGAUUAGCUAGUUGGUGGGGUAAAGGCCUACCAAGGCGACGAUCAGUAGGUGGUCUGAGAGGAUGAUCACCCACACUGGGACUGAGACACGGCCCAGACUCCUACGGGAGGCAGCAGUGGGGAAUAUUGGACAAUGGGGGCAACCCUGAUCCAGCAAUACCGCGUGUGUGAAGAAGGCCUUAGGGUUGUAAAGCACUUUAGGCGGGGAAGAAGGUAUGUAUUUUAAGAGAUAACAUAUUUGACGGUACCCGCAGAAUAAGCACCGGCUAACUCUGUGCCAGCAGCCGCGGUAAUACAGAGGGUGCGAGCGUUAAUCGGAUUUAC